GAUGAACGCUAGCGGCAGGCCUAACACAUGCAAGUCGAGGGAGAAGCCCUUCGGGGCGGAAACCGGCGCACGGGUGCGUAACGCGUAUGCAACCUACCUUUCACAGGGGGAUAGCCCGAAGAAAUUUGGAUUAAUACCCCAUAGUAUUAUUGGGUGGCAUCAUUUGAUAAUUAAAAUUACGAUGGUGAAAGAUGGGCAUGCGUCCUAUUAGCUAGUUGGAGUGGUAACGGCACCCCAAGGCUACGAUAGGUAGGGGUCCUGAGAGGGAGAUCCCCCACACUGGUACUGAGACAGGGACCAGACUCCUACGGGAGGCAGCAGUGAGGAAUAUUGGUCAAUGGUCGGAAGACUGAACCAGCCAUGCCGGGUGCAGGAAGAAUGCCUUAUGGGUUGUAAACUGCUUUUAUAUGGGAAGAAUAAGGUGUACGUGUACAUUGAUGACGGUACCAUAUGAAUAAGC
rnacentral:rRNA from 1 species